rnacentral:rRNA from 1 species
GUCCACGCCGUAAACGAUGGAUACUAGCUGUUGGAAGCAAUUUCAGUGGCUAAGCGAAAGUGAUAAGUAUCCCACCUGGGGAGUACGUUCGCAAGAAUGAAACUCAAAGGAAUUGACGGGGCCCGCACAAGCGGUGGAGCAUGUGGUUUAAUUUCGAUGAUACGCGAGGAACCUUACCAAGGCUUAAAUAGUAGAUUGACCGGUUUGGUAAACAAGACUUUUCGUCAAGAACAAUUUAACUAAGGUGCUGCAUGGUUGUCGU